rnacentral:misc_RNA from 1 species
GUUAUUGUUUCACAAAUGUAGUUAGUAUGCUCGGAUACGUGAUAGCCUACGUGUAUUAGUUUAAAUUUUACCAUAUUCUCAAGUAUUCGUUUAACUUGAUAAUUUUAUUUUGAUUAUAACUGAAAUAAAAACCAAAUAACGUAAAAGCAAUAAUUAUGAUUACAACUCAACUUUUCCAAUACUCGCAUGUAUAAUAUUAUGUUUAUUAAAUCAGGUUUUCAGGGUGGUCAAACGUGGGAGCCGUGACAGCAGACGACCGACAUAGGAAAACGAACGGUGAACAACCUGCAGCAGCGCGCGCAGACAUGCCCAAGGAGUCAUGUGACCGGAAAGGUGACACACCGCUAGACAUACAGGAGACCGGCUGGUCGCGAACCAAGCGAGCGCUAAGCGCAAUCCACGUGGAACCUCUGUUGUGCUGUUACAUCGUGUCCCGGACGCUCUUGCUGCUGGCCACGCAGAACCUGAGCCUGCAGAAGGCGUGCUCGGUAAACCUCCAGCUUGACGACGACACGUGCGCCGCGCUGCUGGCCAAAUCCAAGACAAACGCCAGCGAGCCGCUGCACCGGUAUGAGGUGGCCACCCAGCAGCUGGUGGCCAACAUGCUCUCGUGGCAGCUGAUCGUCCAGAGCACCGUGCCGUGUGCGCUGGCCGUGUUCGUCGGGUCCUGGAGCGACCGACGCCGAAAGCGAGUGCCGUGCAUGCUCAUACCCGUUGCUAGCGAACUGGCCCGCGUCAUUGGCCUUGUGGCCUGCGUCUACUGGUUCGACGAGCUCCGCAUGGAAGUGGUCGGCGUUGUCGAGGCGUUGCCCACGUCACUGGCCGGUGGCCGGAUGGUUCUGUUCAACGCGAUGUUCAGCUACGUCUCCGACGUCACCGGUGAGGAGAAGAAAACUCUACGAAUCGGUAUAGUCAACAUACUAUCCUCAGUAGGCAUGGCCAUCGGUACAGCGUUGUCUGGUAUUACAUUUCAGAAGCUGGGUUUCUAUGGUGUGUACGGUGUAUCUUCGGUCCUAUGUUUAAUAGGUCUUCUGUAUGGUCUAGUAUUUAUAAAAGAAGUGUCACCAAAUAAACCGGAAAAUUCAAUACCACAGACACGAAAUAAUGGUCUGUUUAAUGGAUUUUUUAACGCAAAACACAUUCAAGAAGCAUUUAAAGUCACGUUCAAGGACGGACCACAAAAUCGAAAACUCAAAAUAAUCAUGUUAAUGUGUAUUGCGUUUUUAAUCAUGGGACCUUUAAACGGUGAUCUUUCCGUAUCGUAUUUGAAUACACGUGCCCGAUUCAAAUGGAACGAAGUUGAUUUUAGUGUGUUUUCUACUUUCUCUAUGAUCACUUGUGUAGUAGGUUCAGCAAUUUGCAUCAGCUUAUUUAGCCGUGUGCUUAAAAUCGAAGAUAGCUUAAUUGGAGUGGUGGCAUGUGCAGGAAAAAUUGUUGCCGGAAUAUGUUACGCUUUAGCGACGGAAGAUUGGGUAUACUAUUUAGGUGUGUACCUUAUAUUUAUGAAAACAUGUUAAUUCGAUUUAAAUUUAAAUUCAAUGAUAAAUGGCAACUAUUCUGAUACCUAUGCAUACUGAUAUGUAUACAGUAUAUUAUAGACCGUUGGUAGACAUUAUGGGAGGCACAAUUUUCAUAACAUCGAGAUCAAUUAUGGCAAAAAUAGUCAAACCCGAUGAAUUAG